rnacentral:lncRNA from 1 species
GGAGAACAGAGGAGGUGGAUCCCUGGGCUUGUUCACAGGUGACCUGAAAUGCCUCCAGAGUGCUUGGUCAAGCGAAUAAAAUAUUAUCCAGGACUCUGAGCUUAAGGUAGCCAUCACCAGCAAAGGCCGAAGUUAAGAGUUUUAGUGAAUGGUGUAGUUUAUAGUAACUGAUAAAGAAGGAAGGAUUUUGCUGAAGCCCAAUGUGAUGUACUGGAUUUAAAUGGAAAUGCUUAUUCUGUUAUGUUCUGGCUUAUGAAGUUACCCCCUACCCCUACCCCACCCCCACGUUUUUUCACCUUCUCCAUAAAACCUGAUGUAAGUGUAAAAUGCAUUAUGUUUUCCAGUUACUCCUUAGUAGGUCUGGAUUCCUUUUUUUUUUUUUUUUAAAUAUGGUGGUUUUCUAUAACAUGAUGUAUUUAAGUAACAUUUUAUAUUGAUUUCUACCAUGUGAUCUAAAAUAAAAGACAUAUAUAAGGAAUUAAGGACCCUCAAAAAACAUUUCUACUCUUGGCAAAUGGCUGAUAGAUUCUUUCAUGUUGAAGGUACUUCUACAAAUGGUCAUAUCUGUGCGUUUUCUGUAUGUGGCCUGGGACCAACAAGGACACUUCACAUGUGCUCAUCUCUGAUGCUCACCACAGAGGAGCAGCUGUCUUAAUUUUACUGACAAACUAAUAAAACCAAACAAAACACUGAAAUCUGGCAAGAUCAUAAACCUUGUCUAGGGUUAGUCAGACAGAAACUAGCAAGGAUUCAUCCAUGUCACCCUGACCCUAGUGUACUUCCUAACGUCCCAUUAAUUCUGAAAGAUUUGUCACUGUCCCUCAUCAAGCCAUAGGAAUGAAGGGUGGCAGUAGGUUACAGUGUUCCACUGACCUGAAGCAUUAGAUAGUAACUGCCCUACCAUGGGUUUUGCUAGAGAUUUAUGUCAUACGCCUACUGCUUUGGAAUGGAACUUUGAUGAGUGUUAUUGCAUAGGAGUCUCAUGAUAACCAUAUGAGGUGGACAGGGCGUUGUUUUAUCUUCCUUUUCUAUCCUGAUAAGAGAAAACAGAAGCAAAGAGAAAUUUAUCAUAUAGUUUAUAUUUUGUGAGUGCCAGAGCUAAGAUUCAAGCCUUUGGUUCCUGGCUUAGGUCACUUGUGUUUGUGACUAAGAGGCGGGUUUGUGUGUGCUUGGGCACCACUGCUGGGCUCUUACUGACUUAGGCCUAGUGUGACAUGGAUAUGGCUAAAUUAGACCAUUGGGUAAUGAAGUAGUCCAGCCAGCCAGACUGGUUUUUCUACUUCUGCCCCUUUGGCUAAUUCACAAUUGGUAAGAUGUUUCUGAAGACAAUUCUUCACUUUUCUAUUUGUUUUUGGAGGGUGGUGAUAGGGAAAUAAUUCUUGCUUCAUGUUAUCUGUACUUCUUUUCUUACUUUGGUGGGAUAUCCACUCUCGUUAUGACUUUAGCAAAUCUUUCUGGCAUGACUAGAACCCACCUCCUCAGAGAAUGUUUCUUGACAGUAACUAUUUUAUUUUAUUUUAUAUAAUCCCAAGUAAAUCUGUACCUUCAGCAUCAGGCCUGGAUAGGAUUCAAAUCUACGAGCCUGAUUUUAUGAAACCAGAGGUUUACCAGUUGGCCACCACUCCUAACCAUUUUGCUAUCUGGACAGCACAUCAGUUAGCACACACGGUUUGCAUUUUAUUCAUAUUUCAACACGGACAUAAACGGAGAGAUAUCUGUCUGUUUUUUUCUAUGUGCCAAAAGUGGAGAAGCAGGUGGGUGUGGGAAAUUUAGUGCGAUACAAUUUUACUGUCCUCUUUCUUUGGUUCACCUAUGCAGUACUAUUAUCUCAAAGAUCAUCAGAUUUGCUGUGAAGUAGAAAGAAAAGAAGUACAGAAUGGGUCAAGAGUUUCUCACUGAGCC